rnacentral:tRNA from 1 species
GCCUGAUGGCUAAGAGGUAGAGCAGUGGUCUUGUGAACCAAGAGGUCCCUGGUUCAAACCAAGUCAAUGCG